UAACAGCUUGGUGCAAGGAAAAACAAAUACGUACUCCUGUAGAAGACAUGAGCCUUGGACAACUUGAUGCAAACCUCCGUCGUUUUUACGCUGAAGCAAGAAAAAUGAACGGAGAAAUAUACAGCAAGAAGACCCUACUCGGCUUCCGGCAUGCCAUUGAACGCCAUCUCAAUCAGCCACCCUUGUCGAGAAGCCUUAAGCUGUCUACCGACCCUAGAUUCAAGCGGUCAAACGAGAUGCUUGAUGCUCAGCUUGUACAGAUGAAGAGAAAUGGCCUUGAGAACACCAAGCACAAACCCGCCAUCGAGGAUAAAGACCUAAAAAAGCUCAAAACUUCCAAAGCACUUUCUCCGGAUACUCCAUCCAGUCUCCUAAGAAAUGUGUGGUUCCACGUGGUCCUGCACUUUUGUAGAAGAGGUAGAGAGGGUCAGCGAGCGUUGAAAAAAAACAAGCUUCCUGUUUGAACAAGAUGCAAGCGGCCGGCGCUACGUAACUAUGUCGCACGACGAAGCGACAAAGAACCAUCCUGGAGGAUUGAACGACAAUCUUUUCAAUUGUAUAUUUCGAAACAGAAUCCUAAAUGUGAAACAUUUUUCCAGUAUCCAAAGAAAUGUUGGUAUCCCGACCACGACGUGUGGUUCUAUCAGUCAUCUACCGCAGAGAUUCCACGAGAUACUACGCAUGCGCAUAGCUGAUCAUUCUACGUUCGCAUUCGCGUUCCGCCAUUUUGUAGCGUGACUGGUCAAACGAGGAAACAAUUCAACAAAAUCAGCUUCAUCCGACGCGUUCAACGGAAAUAUUUUCUGUUCCAUCGGAACCCAUCCUAGGAUUCUCGGGGUAGGAUUUGCGAGGCAAACCAUAUUACCCUUGUGAAGAUAAUCGCCGUUUAAAAUGGCGGCUCAGAAACCUGAUAUCCUUGACGCCAUGCUUUCUGAAGCACGGUCCGAAACUGACUCGGCGCAGCCGAAUAAGUCAGAAAAAGGACAAGGAAAUGUUCAAAAGAAGGGAAAGACCCCUCUUACAAAGGAAAAGCGUUCGGGGACGACGGCAAAGAGUCCAACGGUUACAACUAAACUGGUGACUGGCGCUGCCAGUUCUGCAGGUUUAGAUCAAGCCACCAAGUCGGGAGAAACCGAUCCUACACGACUAGAGGACUUGUGCCACAAAGUCUCCCAAUUAACAGACAUCAUGAGCAGUUUUGCUUCUGUUGUAAAAGAACUGAAAACAGCUUAUGAUGCUGCGAUGCAGCAGAAUGACCUAAGCUGCUCUGAUAGCGAAAACGAAGGGGGAGAGUCCUUCUCAACCACAGCUAAAAGCAAAGACACGAAGGCCAAUGAUUACUCGAUGACCUCAUGCAGAAGGUGAACGAAAAUGAACAGACAGACACAGCAUUAACUGAGAAAAUGUCGUUUGUGUUAGACAGUGUUUUAGCAACUGGUCUCAACGAGCAAUCUCUCGCUAAAAGGAAAGAGUCAAUUAGAAGACCAGAAAACUGCAAACUUCUAAAAGUGAACAGUGAAAUAUGGGAAAUUGCCCAAAAAACAACCAAGAGCAUGGAUGCUCGUUUACAGAAACUACAAGAGGCACUAAUCAAAGGCCUCAUUCCAAUGGCAAGAGCUGCAGGACUUGUGGGCGAAGCCCUGAGUAAAAAAGCAGAUAUGCCUUUGACACUAGAAGAACUUUGGAAAGGAUUAUCCUACUCUGUUCUUUUCGUUGCCCCAGCCAACCAUGACUUAAACAUGUGUAGGUGUGACCUAUUCAAGGUUGAUCUAGACGACAAAUACAAAGAAAUAUGCAGUAAUAAAGAGCCUGUGGCAUCAGAACUGUUUGGCGAUGACUUAGGUGAAUGCCUCAAAACAGUAAAAGAAAGCAAGAAAGCUGCUCAGCAACUAACAGGCAAACGGAAACGUGAUGAAGAAUAUCCAAGGAGACCCAGGCCAUCAUAUGGUGGGAAUUUUUUAUUCCCGAACUGGGGUCGCCCUUACAGGGGACGGCCCCAUCAAAGAUACAACCCACAGAACAAGUAUCCCAGCACCCACAACACGAACAGUGCUGCAAAAAGCAGAAGUAAUGCCUACACCGUCUAAUUCCACAAGUGCUACAGAAGUUGGAGUCCGACCAAGCACAAACGAUCUUAAUAGUCCCCAACUGGUCAACACAGCCAUGGUACCCAUAGUUAUCUCGCCUUCUAGUUCAGAAACCUAUUCUCCUCCCAGAGAAGAAGAGCAAUGUCUACCUUCCAUUCGAUCAGGGGAAAUGUCAUCCACUGGGGAAAAGAUUAAUAAUAAUAAUGAGUUUAAUUCAACCUUUCGCAGUAUAGACUGGAUUACAGGAGAUCCCUACAAAGUAAAGGAAUUUCAUCAGCAACUCAGGAGACAAUACUCAAGUCUUGGCGCCAAGGUACACAAAAACAAUACAGAGGGUACCUGGCUAAGUGGGAGCUAUUUGCACAUAAACGGUCUACAGAUCCCUUACACCCACCUCUAAAUGUGGUAAUGGAUUACCUGGGACACGUCAACAGUUCUCACAUAUCUUAGGGAACUUUACCCAUUGGAGGAACUUACCCUACAACACAGUGUACGUGCAGCAUCUACCAGCAAGGCCAAGAGUUGUGACAUUCCCAUGACUCCUAUCAUGAAAGCAGCCUGUUGAAGCUCAGACUGUACCUUUACCAGGUUUUAUCAUAAGCCUAUAACCGAAGCUGAGAGCUUUGGACAUGCUAUCCUUUCAAAUGUUAAGUUAUCAGCAACUGUUCUACAACAGUUCUGUACUUAUAGUAUGGCAUCGGUAAUGCAAAUCAACUGUUAUAUUAAUUUUGGUUUCCACCUAUGUUUAAGGUGACAUGUUACCACUUAUGUUAGUUGUUAUAGAGGUUACUUGUGUAUAUUAUUGAUGAGUGCUCAUUCGAAUAUAAAAUCUCGUGGAAUCUCUGCGGUAGAUGACUGAUAGAAUUAGAAAAUUAAACGAGACUUACCUGGAAGUUGAAGUUUGAUUGGGAUUCUAUCAGUCAUCUACAGAGCAGAGAUUACACGCCCUCCCUAUAGGUACUUGUUGCCUCCCUGCAGUUCUACUGCACUUAUUGGAUCUUCUCAUGGACACUCAUGAUCUUUUAAAUAUGACCAGCUAUGCGCAUGCGUAGUAUCUCGUUUUAGGAUUUGCCUCCAUUGCAUUUAUUUUUUAGUAGCCUGUAUGAGUGGAUCCAAGGUUUCUAAAAAUAAGGCCAAAGGGUGGGUGCACCAAUAUGUAAUGCAUGUCAGGAGGUAUAUUUCUGGAGUUUAAUUUCAACACAUUCUUCUGAAUAUUUAGUUGCAGUACAUGGAAACUACAGUAUGGCAUCCAAAUUUUUGGAAUGCUGUUACACCUGGUUAAUUCUUCACAAGGUCAAAGCUUGUUAGAAUGCAUCUUUGAAAAAAAUAUAGAUAGUGGAGCUUCUAUGAAGGGAAAUAAGAAUUGACCAUUAGACUCUUGAUAAACACUCUCGUCAACUAAGACACCUGAACUUUGACAGCCUUUUUCACACCAAGGCUUAGUAUUUGCUAACUUUUAUACUGUAUAUUUAAUAUUAUUAAGUGAGUGCUUGAUUAAUACAUUUGGAGGGGCGAGUACAGUUCAUAAUCACAUGGCAGUAAAAAAAUAACAUAUUUUUAAUCUCAUUAAAAAAAAACAUUCUAAAGACACCUAGAUCCCCCUAAAACAGUCAGUCAACACAAAAAGGUAUCAAAUGCUGGAUUCGCCUUAAUGCAGUGCCUAAAUCUAUAUAUUAGGUUGUUAUUCACAUUUCGAAACAUUCAACUGCUCAUAUGCAGGGAAUAAAUGAGGCUUUGCGGUCGUGCAUGUAGCCAUAGCCUACUCCAGGUACUACCAGAAAAUGCAAUAAAUUGAGUGUGCUUAAGUUAGUUCAUAUUUUGAGACCCAUUUCCUGGAAAAAAAAUAAAAAUUCCUCGUUUUUAACAUGUUCCGACAAAGGGAUUUCUGGUUUCUCAUUUUUUUUCCUGUUAAUAACAUCACUUAAACGGUUUAUGUGCAGUUCAGAAUUUUUAUUGCACGUGGUUCCAACUGGGUCUACGUUAGGACUUGACACACAGGGAGCUCACCUCUACGGUUUGAAUAAAGUUAGAGUUGUUUUUUAGCUUUGCGUUGUUGAUUAUUUUUUUAGUGCGUGUGGGCGUUUGAAUCUCUUGUCUACUUUUUCGGCGCCCGGUGCUUUCUGGCACUCUUUCAUUGGUUAGCGGUCUAUUGGCCGUCUCGACUGCUAAAUGGCUUCCGUGUCACGGCAUACCUAGUAAAAAAACUACAGUCACGUGAUUUGUGAUGUCAUCGAGGAUGUCACUAAAAGCAAAACUACUCCGAUUUCAUUAGAACAAAAAUAUCCAUUCUCAUGAACAAAACAUCAUAUAACAACUAAUCUUAGUAUGUGUCAUGAAGUUGACGUCGUCAAAAA